rnacentral:rRNA from 1 species
AUUGAACGCUGGCGGCAGGCCUAACACAUGCAAGUCGAGCGGAUGAAGGGAGCUUGCUCCUGGAUUCAGCGGCGGACGGGCGAGUAAUGCCUAGGAAUCUGCCUGGUAGUGGGGGAUAACGUCCGGAAACGGGCGCUAAUACCGCAUCCGUCCUGAGGGAGAAAGUGGGGGAUCUUCGGACCUCACGCUAUCAGAUGAGCCUAGGUCGGAUUAGCUAGUUGGUGGGGUAAAGGCCUACCAAGGCGACGAUCCGUAACUGGUCUGAGAGGAUGAUCAGUCACACUGGAACUGAGACACGGUCCAGACUCCUACGGGAGGCAGCAGUGGGGAAUAUUGGACAAUGGGCGAAAGCCUGAUCCAGCCAUGCCGCGUGUGUGAAGAAGGUCUUCGGAUUGUAAAGCACUUUAAGUUGGAGGAAGGGCAGUAAGUUAAUACCUUGCUGUUUUGACGUUACCAACAGAAUAAGCACCGGCUAACUUCGUG